rfam:Lactococcus lactis plasmid pSRQ800, complete sequence.
UAGUAAUUGCUCCUUUGUGAGUGAUUUUGGUUAAGCAUGAAGAAAUGCUCUGCAAAAAGUUUUUUCUUCAUGCUUUUAUUAUAUCA